rnacentral:rRNA from 1 species
GGAAGUAAUUCGAGGGCGCAUGGCGGAUGCCUUGGCUCGCGGAGGCGAUGAAGGACGUGACAAGCUGCGAUAAUCCGCGGGUAGGCGCAAGUGGCCUUUGAUCCGCGGGUCUCCGAAUGGGACAACCCACCGGCUUUGCCGGUAUCCCCCUUUCUGUGGGGGAGGCGAACGCGGGGAACUGAAACAUCUUAGUACCCGCAGGAAGAGAAAAUAAUCCAAUGAUUCCCCGAGUAGUGGCGAGCGAAAGGGGAGGAGCCCAAACCGGGGGCGUCUUCGGGCGCCCCCGGGGUUGUAGGACCGCGCUUGCGGCGGGACGAAGGCGAGGCGAGGCCGCCUGGAAAGCGGCGCCGCAGAGGGUGAUAGCCCCGUAGCCGAAGCCUUUGUCCCCCGCGCGGCAUCCUGAGUAGGGCGGGACACGUGUAAUCCCGCCUGAAUCCGCCGGGACCAUCCGGCAAGGCUAAACACUCCCGCGAGACCGAUAGCGUACCAGUACCGUGAGGGAAAGGUGAAAAGCACUCCGCCGAGGAGGUUGAAACAGAUCCUGAAACCAUGCGCCCGCAAGCGGUCGGAGCGCGCCUUGUGCGCGUGACGGCGUGCCUUUUGCAUAAUGAGCCUACGAGUUGCCUUCGCCGGCGAGGAUAAGCGCGAGGACGCGCGCAUCCGCAGUGAGAGCGAGCCUGAAUAGGGCGUUGAGUCGGCGUGGGCAGACGCGAAACCAGGUGAUCUACACUUGGCCAGGGUGAAGUCCCGGUAACACGUGAUGGAGGCCCGAACCAAUAAGCGUUGAAAAGCUUCUGGAUGAGCCGAGUGUAGGAGUGAAAGGCCAAUCAAACCUGGAGAUAGCUCGUACUCCCCGAAAGGCAUUUAGGUGCCGCGUGGGGCGUUCGCCGCGAGAGGUAGAGCGACCGAUAGGUCGAGAGGGCUUCGCCGCCUAUCGAGACCUGACGAACUCCGAAUGCUCGCGGCCCAGAGCCCCGCAGUAAGGGGGCGGGUGCUAAGGUCCGUCCCCGAGAGGAGAAGAAUCCAGACCGCCGGCUAAGGCCCCGAAGUCCCGCCUGAGUUAGUCUAACGAAGUCCGGUCCCCAUGACAGCUAGGAUGUUGGCUUGGAAGCAGCCAUUCAUUCAAAGAGUGCGUAACAGCUCACUAGUCGAGGGUCUGGGCGUGGAUAAUAAUCGGGUAUAAGGCGGGCGCCGAAGCCGCGGGGUGCAUACGCACCGGUAGGGGAGCAUUCCGCGCCGCGUCGAAUGCCGGGGGGCGACCCCGGCUGGAGCGCGCGGAAAGGCAAAUGUAGGCAUGAGUAACGAGAAGGGGGGUGCGAUUCCCCCCCGCCGCAAGACCAAGGUUUCCCGGGCUAUGCCAAUCAGCCCGGGGUCAGUCGGGUCCUAAGCCUAAGCCGAGAGGCGACGGCGAUGGCAUGACGGUCAACAUUCCGUCACUGCCGCGUGGGGCGACGCGGGGAAGGAGAGGUGGCACGGCCGCGGGGCGACGGAAGCCCCCGUUGAAGGGUGUACCUGUUGAGAUGCCCAGGCAAGUCCGGGCGUUGAGGGGAACCUGACAGUACGCCCGGCCCUCCGGGGCCGGGCGAUAGCGCCGGUAAUCUUGCUCCCGAGAAAAUCCGCUAAGCUUCACCCGCGCGGCACCCGUACCUCAAACGGACACACGUGGUCGGGUAGAGCAUACUGAGGCGUUGAGAGACUCAUGGCCAAGGAACUAGGCAAACUGGCCCCGUAACUUAGGGAUAAGGGGUCCUCCUUUUUGGGAGGCGCAGAGAAUAGGUCCAGGCAACUGUUUAACAAAAACACAGGGCUGUGCGAACUCGUGAGAUGAUGUAUACAGCCUGACACCUGCCCGGUGCCGGAAGGUUAAGAGGAGGGGUCACCCUUUCGGGGGGAAGCCCUGAGUUGAAGCCCCGGUAAACGGCGGCCGUAACUAUAACGGUCCUAAGGUAGCGAAAUUCCUUGUCGGGU